GGAAGAAAUGUCGGGGUUUCAUCAGAGCUAGGGAGCGACAGUCGGGAACAGCGAGUCUGCUGAAGCCGGCUGUUGUGUGAGGCUUCCGUGCCCCGUUCUUCUGGAGCAGGCAAGAGGUGCUUGGAGUGAGGUGCUUCUGGAGUGAGGUGCUUGGGUGCGCUCGAGAGAGCUUCCCCCUGCUCCACCUGUUUCGCGGUGCGC
rnacentral:sRNA from 1 species